GGAUAAGUGUUCCACGUAGCUUUGAGAUCAGAAUUUAUCAAAUUGCAAAUAAAAAAUUAUUUUUGUAAUAGUAAAAUGAAUAAAAAAAUGAAUAGUUAAAAUGAAUAGUAAAAAUGAAUAGUAAAUUUUUUUGCUAUAAAUAGCCAAGGGGGGAGGCUGAAAAUUUACACCAAAGAACUUAGAAAAUUUUUGAGAGAAGAGAGUUGGAAGAAUUUCAAAUUUUGCAAAGGGGAUAUUCUGGAAGUUUUCAGAGGACGAGGGGAUUAAGUCUGUAAUAGAGAUAAUGUUGCAGAUGUGGUUGAAAAAGCUUAGAGAUGAGAGAGAUGCGGGGAAAACCUUUCAUGGAUUUUUGUAAAAAGAAUAAAUUUGUAUUGGGAAGAUUAUGUUGUGUAAAAUUUAAAAGUUGAAAUGUCAACGGUGAAGACUAUAUUGUUUAAAGUUUGUAAGUUUGGUAUUGUACUUUGGAG
rnacentral:sRNA from 1 species